CGCUUCAACCAUUCUAAAUAGAUCCCGUUCUUUUUUUGAACGGUUUUAAAAAAGUAUAACCUCUGUUUGGAUCAAGGAUCACGGGGGAGUUCUCGUCCGCCACCAUGUUAGUCGGCAUCCUGACCUGAUGACGUCCACGGACCAAGCUUACAUCUGUCGACCCCGCCGAUGAUCCUCCUCCAUCUUCAAACCCAACAUCUUGCGUAGCAAAGUUAAUCACAGUGUUGUUUGCGACAUUGCUAUCCAUGCCCCCAUUCUCCCCAAUCACAUUCUGAUUCUAUGUUGGUUGGCUAACAUUUGGCUCGCACUCAGCAGCCAACUGCUCAUCAGCAAGUCCAUCAGACAGCAUCACCUGAUUGUCAGCGCUACAGCUGCAAAUAAAAAGUUGUAGCCGAUUAAUAGUAAACAAUAAAUUGCUUGAGUUAUUCUUAGCAGGCU
rnacentral:lncRNA from 1 species